GUCCGUAAGGCCAACCACAAUCUCUCCAAAACAUCUUAGGCCCGAGUUUCACUCAGCUGCAUUUGUUUUCAGGAAUGAGAGAUUUGAUGGGUUCAGCAGCGACACUGGUGUCAGGAAGUUUAUGGAGCAUCAGCCCCCCUGUUGGAAAGCCAGAGGUAGAUUUCCUCAGCCUUCACAAGCAUCUUCUGGUGACACCAUGGGUUGCCAACGAGGAGGUGAACACCGAGAAGGAUUCCACAGAGAAUGUAGACCUCAACCAGCUAGGCACUAUUCACCAAGGAGUAAUGUGACUGGAGAUUAAAUCUGAGCAACUCACUCUGAGCAACACCAACAGCAAGGACAACCGUAACAAAGAUGUCCUCCCCCUGCAAGAGAGGACGGAGCUGGAGGCAAAUAGCCAAAGAAGAAAAAGAACGCCAUUAGGAAGAUCUUCAGCCGCCUCUGGAGGAUCAUAACGUGUUCCUCUGGGAUCUUCAGAGAGGACGACAACUGAGCUGCCUCCAUUGUAAAUAACUGUUUUACAAGUUGAUACCACCAACUGUAACAUCAUCAUGGCCAAUUAUAUCAUUUUAUGUAAAUAACCC
rnacentral:lncRNA from 1 species